rnacentral:rRNA from 1 species
GAUGAACGCUGGCGGCGUGCCUAACACAUGCAAGUCGAGCGAACGGACGGGAAGCUUGCUUUUCUGAUGUUAGCGGCGGACGGGUGAGUAACACGUGGAUAACCUACCUAUAACACUGGGAUAACUUCGGGAAACCGGAGCUAAUACCGGAUAAUAUUUUGAACCGCAUGGUUCAAAAGUGAAAGACGCUCUUGCUGUCACUUAUAGAUGGAUCCGCGCUGCAUUAGCUAGUUGGUAAGGUAACGGCUUACCAAGGCAACGAUGCAUAGCCGACCUGAGAGGGUGAUCGGCCACACUGGAACUGAGACGCGGUCCAGACUCCUACGGGAGGCAGCAGUAGGGAAUCUUACGCAAUGGGCGAAAGCCUGACGGAGCAACGCCGCGUGAGUGAUGAAGGUCUUCGGAUCGUACAACUCUGUUAUUAGGGAAGAACAUAUGUGUAAGUAACUGUGCACAUCUUGACGGUACCUAAUCAGAAAGCCACGGCUAACUACGUG